UAAGCUUGCGUACUAUUAGCUAGUUGGUGAGGUAAAGGCUCACCAAGGCGAUGAUGGUUAGCCGGCCUGAGAGGGUGUACGGCCACACUGGAACUUAGACACGGUCCCAGACUCCUACGGGAGGCAGCAGUGAGGAAUAUUGCGCAAUGGGCGAAAGCCUGACGCAGCGACGCCGCGUGGAGGAUGAAGGUCUUCGGAUUGUAAACUCCUGUUAAGUGGGAAGAAAGACCUAUUUCUAAUACAGAUAGGGGAUGACGGUACCAUUAGAGAAAGCACCGGCUAACUUCGUG
rnacentral:rRNA from 1 species